AUAUGAUCUGUAUGACGUCACUGCUUUAUUUGGAAAACGAAUUUGAAGGUACCAGCAAAGAACGAGUGAAGUCUGUCUAUUAAACGGCUGGUGUUCUGUUGGCACCAUGACGAAACGAUUUCUGUUGAUAAUGUUUUUGGUAGUUAUUUAUGCUUCAAUCACUGUUUCAAGAAAAGGUCGACAUGAUGAAGGAAAUAACAAUCAAGAUGUCUCAGAGGCACAAGCUGUACAAAACGGACAAAGCGAGAAAAAGUUUAAAUCAAAAACAGAAGAAACAAAAUGGAAAAUGAAUGUGGCAAGAAAAAAGUUGCUAAUCGCUAAGGAUUAUCUCAAGCUAGCAAUGAAAGCCACUAAAAAACACAAGACAGUCAAAAAUACUCCACAAAAUCAAAAUGAAAUCAGGGACAUUAUCCGAAAAGCUGAAAAACAAAUAUUGCACUCUGGAGAGAAGAUGGGAUUAUCUUAUAUGCAUUAUAAACGGAGUUAUGAGGACUGAUAUUAGUCAUUUUUAAACUGUCUGUAGUGUGUCUGCCCGUGAUUUGCGUCACUAGUGCAAACACAUCAAGCUUGCAUUUUGCUAUUAUAAGUGAUAUUCGGGAUAAUGGGGUACGUUAGUACAGUCUAUAAUAAAAAGGAAUUUGCUUUUGCAAAAAGUACAGUGUAUCCACACCGAUAUACUUCAACAACGGCUCCUCUGGCAUUGAUUUUCAUUUGCACUUUGAGGAAAGAGAGGACAAUACUUGAAUACAUCAAGGAUAUACGUCAGCCACAGACGAAGCUCCACUUUGAUCGGGGAGGUUGGUUUCGUUGCCUCUUUUAGUUUUAUUAAUGAUAGCGGACUACUAAAAACAAAUUGUGCGGAAGCAAUACUAAUUGAUCAAACAUUACGAACCUUUUUCCUUUUGCUGUAUACGAUUUUGAUUGUGGACACAUAACAAGAAAACUUUUCAACUAGAGUGGUUUUCAUAAACCCGUGAAACAAAGUGUAAGUAAUUAGUGUAGAGUAAUAGAUCGUAAUAGUAGCGUAGAGACAAUAAAAAACAAAAGAGCCGAAGUGUAAUAUAGUGAUAAAUACGCUAAAGUGUGUUUCACGGGUUAAUGAAAACUACUCUAUGAAUCCUUGUAUAACUUUGCAAAAAUGCAAGUCUUAAAUAUAGUGAAUAACUAUUAAUUAUGGUUUAAUACACUGAUGCGACUCACUCCCCCUUCCGUAAAACAGACAGAAAUUAAUAGCGUUUUCUAGAAACAAUCUUCACAUCCGCGGUUGGAAAGMAGCUAUCCUAUACAAGAGAACAACAGCACGGUUUUCCCAUGAAGUCUCAUUCACAGCUAGAGAACCUAUUAACAUUGCAAAGAAUAUGUUGUUCCUAAUGUUUUGUAACUGAUAACAGCAAUAAUAUAGUAAAAAGCUUGCAAAAAUC